rnacentral:rRNA from 1 species
GAUGAACGCUGGCGGCGUGCCUAAUACAUGCAAGUCGAGCGAACGGAUCGAGAGCUUGCUCUUAUGAAGUUAGCGGCGGACGGGUGAGUAACACGUGGGUAACCUGCCCAUAAGACUGGGAUAACUCCGGGAAACCGGGGCUAAUACCGGAUAACAUUUUGAACCGCAUGGUUCGAAAUUGAAAGGCGGCUUCGGCUGUCACUUAUGGAUGGACCCGCGUCGCAUUAGCUAGUUGGUGAGGUAACGGCUCACCUAGGCAACGAUGCGUAGGCCACCUGAGAGGGUGAUCGGCCACACUGGGACUGAGACACGGCCCAGACUCCUACGGGAGGCAGCAGUAGGGAAUCUUCCGCAAUGGACGAAAGUCUGACGGAGCAACGCCGCGUGAGUGAUGAAGGCUUUCGGGUCGUAAAACUCUGUUGUUAGGGAAGGACAAGUGCUAGUUGAAUAAGCUGGCACCUUGACGGUACCUAACCAGAAAGCCACGGCUAACUACGUGCCAGCCGCCGCUGUAA